CUGAAAUAUUCCCACACCUGCACACCCAGUUUAGCCACCCUGGUGGCUGCUCCAGUGUUAGCGGUCCGCAGAGCCAGGCGUGGCGGCACACGCCUGUGAUACCAGUGACUCAGGAGGCUGAGGCAGGAGGAUGGCAAGUUCAAGGCCAGCCUUAGCAGCCUAGUGAGACUUUGUCUCAAAAUAAAAAAUAAAAAGGGCUGGGGAUGUGGCUCUGUGGUUAGGUGCCCCUGGGUUCAAUCCCCAGCACAAAAAAAAAAAAAAAAAAAGUCAGCUGUAACUAUCCGCUCCUUGGAGAGGGAGCCCAGGGGACUUUGCCGUGAGCCUGAAGGGACGCGCUGGAGGGGGCUGCACCCAGGAACCCUGCAGGCCAGCUCACCUGGCUACUCUCUACCCAUUGUGAAUCCAGGGUUAUUGGAGCUUGGGUUUGCAAUGUUCCUGACACAAAGUAAGGGUGCACUGGCAAACACCACGGAGGGACCUGGUCGGCACCAGGGUCCACUCCUCUCGGUUCUUUUCUCUUUUUCAGAGAUGUGUUCUGCCAUGUCGCCCAGGCUGCUCUGGAACUCCCGGGCUCAAGUGAUCCUCCUGCCUCCGUCUCCCAAGUGCUGGAACAGGGGUACUCUGCCACUGAGCUGCACCUCAGACCAACCUUCCUGAACUGGACAGACCUGGCAUCUCACAUGCAUUCAUUUCCAAGAUGGUUUCUGCAGCUGAACAGCCUCCCUCCUUCCACCAGCUCACACAAGAAGCAGACUCUCGUGGCUGUGGGACAGCGUCCACUCCACGCCCUUGUUUAUCAGGUGGUUAAAUAUUUUGAAUAUCAAUCUUGGAUAUUUAUUCACCCAAACUCCUAUUACAUGACAUUUGGAUCAUCGCCUCUAUUUUGCUUUAAUAAAUAAUG
rnacentral:lncRNA from 1 species